rnacentral:rRNA from 1 species
UACAGAGGUCUCAAGCGUUGUUCGGAAUCACUGGGCGUAAAGGGCGCGUAGGCGGCCCGGUAAGUAGGGGGUGAAAUCCUGCGGCUUAACCGCAGGGCUGCCUUCUAAACUGUCGGGCUCGAGCACGGUAGAGGCAGAUGGAAUUCCCGGUGUAGCGGUGGAAUGCGUAGAGAUCGGGAAGAACAUCAGUGGCGAAGGCGGUCUGCUGGGCCGUUGCUGACGCUGAGGCGCGACAGCGUGGGGAGCAAACAGG